GUGAGGAAUAUUGCGCAAUGGAGGCAACUCUGACGCAGCCAUGCCGCGUGCAGGAAGAAGGCGCUACGCGUUGUAAACUGCUUUUAACCGGGAAGAAACCCCAGGACGUGUCCUGGGUUGACGGUACCGGAGGAAUAAGCACCGGCUAACUUCGUGCCAGCAGCCGCGGUAAUACGAAGGGUGCAAGCGUUAUCCGGAUUCAUUGGGUUUAAAGGGUGCGUAGGCGGAGCGUUAAGUCAGUGGUGAAAUCAUGCAGCUUAACUGUAGACUUGCCAUUGAUACUGGCGCUCUUGAGUGCGCUGGAAGUGGGCGGAAUGUGCCGUGUAGCGGUGAAAUGCUUAGAUAUGGCACAGAACACCAAUUGCGAAGGCAGCUCACUAAGGCGAUACUGACGCUGAGGCACGAAAGCGUGGGGAUCGAACAGGAUUAGAAACCCCAGUAGUCC
rnacentral:rRNA from 1 species